CCUACGGGGGGCAGCAGUGGGGGAUAUUGCACAAUGGGGGAAACCCUGAUGCAGCGACGCCGCGUGAGUGAAGAAGUAUUUCGGUAUGUAAAGCUCUAUCAUCAGGGAAGAAAAUGACAGUACCUGACCAAGAAGCCCCUGCUAACUACGUGCCAGCAGCCGCGGUAAUACGUAGGGGGCAAGCGUUAGCCGGAUUUACUGGGUGUAAAGGGAGCGUAGACGGUUACGUAAGUCUGGAGUGAAAGCCCGGGGCCCAACCCCGGGGGUGCCUUGGAAACUGUGUAACUGGAGUACAGGAGGGGAAGGUGGAAGUCCAGGUGUAGCGGUGAAAUGCGUAGAUAUCAGGAGGAACACCGGCGGCGAAGGCGGCCUGCUGGACUGAAACUGACGCUGAGGCUCGAAAGCGUGGGGAGCAAACAGGAUUAGAUACCCCUGUAGUC
rnacentral:rRNA from 1 species